rnacentral:rRNA from 1 species
AAUGCUUUACACAUGCAAGUCGAGCGGCAGCGCGGGGCAACCUGGCGGCGAGCGGCGAACGGGUGAGUAAUGCAUCGGAACAUGUCCAUGUCGUGGGGGAUAGCUCGGCGAAAGCCGGAUUAAUACCGCAUACGCCCUUCGGGGGAAAGUGGGGGACCGCAAGGCCUCACGCGAUUGGGUUGGCCGAUGUCCGAUUAGCUAGUUGGCGGGGUAAGAGCCCACCAAGGCGAUGAUCGGUAGCUGGUCUGAGAGGAUGAUCAGCCACACUGGGACUGAGACACGGCCCAG